UACGUAGGGUGCAAGCGUUGCCCGGAUUUAUUGGGCGUAAAGGGCGCGUAGGCGGCUCUGCACGUCCGUUGUGAAAUCGCCCGGCUCAACUGGGCGGGGUCAGCGGAUACGGCAGAGCUUGAGCAAGCUAGGGGGCAAUGGAAUUCCCGGUGUAGUGGUGGAAUGCGUAGAUAUCGGGAGGAACACCAGUGGCGAAGGCGGUUGCCCUGGAGCUUUGCUGACGCUGAGGCGCGAAAGCGAUGGGGA
rnacentral:rRNA from 1 species